AAUACUUAUAUUCCUGUGAUAUCAAAUACCAAAUUGAACUGCGUAUCUUAUAUGCAUACUGUCAGUCAUUCCAACAAGUUGACUUAGCGCUGAGUCAAUUUCCAUCAGAUUAGACCCUCAUGUUGUCAAAAGCCAAAUUCUCAUGUUUGAAGCCCACAUGUAGUGGAAUACAAAUGUGCAGAGAUAAGGUAUUUUCCCAUUACUGCUACCAGACCAUACAAUUAAGAUUUUCUUAUAACAUAGGUAUCCUUGCACAUGAACCAUAGGAUCUUUUCUGAAUCUCACAAUUUUGGUGGUGUACCCUGCAACAGCAUGUUUGUUGUUGUUAUGUUUUUACUUCUGUUUAGGAGGCAAUAUAGCUAAGAGAAAGAGUUUCAGUGACAUGAAGAGUGUGGAGUGAAUAACCUGCCAUGUGUAUUGCACAUGUACGGGAUCUGCUUGAAGAAAGUCAAAAGCCUUACUAAAUUCAUCACCCGUAUGAUAAAGCAUCAGGAAAUUUAUCUCAACAUGAGGAGUAAGGCUGUUGGUUGUUGUGAUUUCCUUUUUUAUGGUUUAUUCAUCAUGAAAAUUGCAGUGUGCUUCUUAGCAAAGGGCAUGUAAGAGAUCCUUAAGCCAAUGCUGUUCAUUGUCCAUGACGGAAGAGGGACUUCAACCUACGUUCUGCUACAUCCUUAUCUUCCUGACGUACGCUCAUCCAGCUUCACUGCUUCAGUGUUCUUAUGCUGCAAAACAAAUUUUCUUGCUUCAAUGGCGAGUUGGAUCACUUCAGUUGCUGUGAGCCUGCGACACACCUGCAAUCACUCACCACGGGAUUAUGGCCAGGUAAUGCAGAGGAAACGUCGAGAAGAUGGACACCAAAACGUCACCGGUAUCACCAAAAUGUCAGCGUGGAUCAUCAUUUGUUGUUGGUAAUAUGUUUGUGUCAGUGUUAGUUAACCCGUUGGCUGCCACGCCUUUGUUCUCCUCUAGUUCCUUAGCACGGGUCGCGCUGUUCGGUCUCGUGGUUUACAAGCCGCGGGUUCGGAGAGUCGCCAAGCCCAAAACUUGCCGCAAGGCGCCUGUUUCAGGCAAUGCACCCCCU